UGGAGGGCAAGUCUGGUGCCAGCAGCCGCGGUAAUUCCAGCUCCAAUAGCGUAUAUUAAAGUUGUUGAGGUUAAAAAGCUCGUAGUUGAACCUUGGGCCCGGCCGGCCGGUCUCCCUCACCGGAUGCCACUGGCUCGGCUGGGCCUUUCCUUCUGGAGAACCCCAUGCCCUUCACUGGGUGUGGCGGGGAACCAGGACUUUUACUCUGAACAAAUUAGAUCGCUUAAAGAAGGCCUAUGCUCGAAUAUAUUAGCAUGGAAUAAUAGAAUAGGACGUGUGGUUCUAUUUUGUUGGUUUCUAGGACCGCCGUAAUGAUUAAUAGGGACAGUCGGGGGCAUCAGUAUUCAAUUGUCAGAGGUGAAAUUCUUGGAUUUAUUGAAGACUAACUACUGCGAAAGCAUUUGCCAAGGAUGUUUUCAUUAAUCAGGAACGAAAGUUAGGGGAUCGAAGACGAUCAGAUACCGUCGUAGUCUUAACCAUAAACUAUGCCGACUAGGGAUCGGACGGUGUUAUUUUUUGACCCGUUCGGCACCUUACGGGAAAC
rnacentral:rRNA from 1 species